GAUGAACGCUAGCGGCAGGCCUAAUACAUGCAAGUCGAGGGGUAGAGCUAGCUUGCUAGCUUGAGACCGGCGCACGGGUGCGUAACGCGUAUGCAACCUACCCUUUUCUGGGGGAUAGCCCGGAGAAAUCCGGAUUAGUACCGCAUAAGACCACGAUACGGCAUCGUGAUGUGGUCAAACAUUUAUGGGAGAAGGAGGGGCAUGCGUGCCAUUAGCUAGUUGGCGGGGUAACGGCCCACCAAGGCGACGAUGGCUAGGGGAUCUGAGAGGAUGGCCCCCCACACUGGUACUGAGACACGGACCAGACUCCUACGGGAGGCAGCAGUAAGGAAUAUUGGUCAAUGGGGGCAACCCUGAACCAGCCAUGCCGCGUGCAGGACGACGGCCCUCCGGGUUGUAAACUGCUUUUGUACGGGAAUAAACCCCGCUACGUGUAGCGGGCUGAAUGUACCGUAAGAAUAAGGAUCGGCUAACUCCGUGCCAGCCGCCGCGGUAA
rnacentral:rRNA from 1 species